rnacentral:misc_RNA from 1 species
CCUCCUUUCUAGAGAAAGAGAUGGUAGUUUUAAUAGGUUACGAAUUAUUUACUUUUUAAUUGCUGUUCAAUUUUAUAACUAAUAUAGAGAUUAAGAAUCACAGAGUCUCGUAGCUCAGCUGGUUAGAGCGCUACACUGAUAAUGUAGAGGUCGGCAGUUCGAGUCUGCCCGAGACUACUAUUUUAGAAAUAGUACUGUGAGGGAGGAUAUUACACAAAGACAAACGUCCGAGUGCGAUACCUUAAUAAUCUUUUUAAGAUAGGAAAUUUUAGAAGUUGAGUAUUCGUUAGCAAUCUAACGAUUAACUACCAAAUACUAGCUACUAGUAAUUUUGGGGGAUUAGCUCAGCUGGCUAGAGCGCCUGCCUUGCACGCAGGAGGUCAUCGGUUCGACUCCGAUAUUCUCCACACAGGCGAUGCCUUGAGAUGGUUUACCACUCAGACAU